CAAGUGGUGCCAUGUCCACACCUGGGAUCCGAACCCGCGAACCACGGGCUGCUGAGAAGCGGAACGUGUGAACUUAACCGCUGUGCCACCGGGUCGGCCCCUCCUGGGUUUGAUACUGUAUGCUGGUUAUCCAAGACAUAACCGUUGGGGGAAACUGGGACACUUGGCAGCAGUAAAAGGUUGCCCUGAACCCUUGACAGAAAGUCAAAGGCAAGAGUAAUAGACAGAAAUACAAAACCUUGAGUCUUGGCUUUAUCACCUGGAGCUACAUAAUGCUGCCACCAAACCUGCUGUUAGGGUUGUUCAAGUGCCAGCAUCAUUACAGGUAUGGUUUUCAACUGCUGUUACUUUGCUAUAUUUGUUAAAGCUCAAUACAAAUUAGAUCAGACAACUCUGGACUAUGAAGGCUUUAAAAAAUGGCAGUUUCUUUAAGUACAAAACAGUGUCCAUGGAGGUAUCAUAAAGAUUUUUAAAAAAGUGAAUUUCUAUGUUGUCAUGUCACUAAUUUUUUUGAGAAAUCUCCCAUAUAAUAUAUGUUCACAUUGAAGGAGUCUGACUUUCUAAUUUGUGUUUCCUGACUGAUCUUUGCAACUGGGUUGUGAAGGCUCACAUCUUUGCUUUACAACUUCAGCGAGAGACCAGUCAGAUCCGGAUUAAAUCGUUGUAGUAUUCUUUUACUUAGUCCAACGCAGAGACCUCUGAUCAUUUCGCCAGCCACGAGACAGAAUUUACCAUCUGCUUAGUUUACACCGGAGUUGGCAAAACUUUUUUUUUUCCAUUCAGUGCUGUCUGACAACACUAUGACUAGAUCAAGAGAUUGGAUAUUUGAUCUUUUAAAUCUGUCAUAACGUCAAAAUGACAAAGUGCAAUGUGAAAUUUUAAACUCAGAGAGUAUUUUCCUCUUAUAGGCUUUUCUCUAUUCAUUUUAAUUUCUAUUUUUUUACCUCUUUGAUUUCGCUUUAAACAAUAUUCCACAGUUAGACAAAUGAACAUGAAAAACCAUGUCAAUAAUAUGUGAACAAAAGUUUCUUUUAAAAAGAGAGAUUUUCAGAAAUUUGUAUGGAAAAUAGUUUUUAAACCUGGCAGAAGCUAAAUGAACAUUUGUAGGAAGAAAAAUGAAAGAAAAGAGCUCCUAGGCCUCUUAUUCCACAGACAGAUUUGUAGUGAAUUAUUUCAGGGUAUAUAAUACUUUACUAAGCAUUUAUUGAUGGAUCAAGAGAAUUUAGGUGGCUCCUCCGUCACUUACUAGUUGUAGGGCCUUGGUUAAGUUGUGUAAACUCUCUAAGCCUUAAUUUUUUUCCCUGUAUGAUGAAAAUGAUGAUAUCCUAUCAUGUGCAUGUCAUGGAGUAUUCAUUAGGAUUACAGGAGAUAAUCUCUGCAGCUGGCUCAUAAUGCUUGUCAAAUAGUAAGUGCUCAAAGGCUAGCCAUUAUUAUAAUUGUUAAACUAAGCCAGAUUGAGAGACUUAAAGUCAAAGCCAGGGAAGAGGCAUUCUAACGUGUCAUUUACGUAGUGCUUCCUUAUUAAUGAUCUCAUUUGAACCUCCUAAUAAUCCUAAAGGCCAGAAGACCCUGGAGCCCCUUCGCUGUUGGCCAUGUGACAGCCCCUCAGAUGGCAAAGGCAGACUUGUGGGCUGUCUACAGAUCCGGACACCUGGAGGCUCGGCUCUGUUCCAAGAGGUGAUUUAUGUAGGCAACACAACCCGAGGAGAGGAAAGCCUACGCGGCCCUUUAGACUUCACAUCUUCUUCUACGCCUGAUAGGACUUUCGCAUUUUACAACUGCAUAAUAAUUCUGUUAUUAGGAGGAAUGCCCCUUCAUGUGCCCCAAAUAAAAAAAGGAAAAGUUAAAACCAGAAGUCUUCCAAAACUUAACAGGUCGGUUUUCUCAGAUAGGAAAACCAGACAAGUUACCUCACAAGAAGCAUAGGCUGUGCCACAAACCUUGCUCUUAGUUUUCUUUCGGUCUGAGCGUCCUCAGAUGGGGGUAGGUGGAUGUCUCCAGUUCUACUGGGACUUUUGGAGAAAUUGAAGGAAGGGAACCUCAUUAGCAGAAGGACAAGGAACUAGUCCAGGCGAUAUCUGAAUAUUUAUUAUUUGACCUUAUCUUGAAUGGAAAGGAAAGGCUCUUUGUUCAAAAAACUUCUGACUGAUGCCUGUUCUUUGGACUUCCCUCAUUGCUUUAUAAAAACAACCUAUUAAUUAACUUACUGCCUGUUAGAAAGAAGUGAGCUUUCUCUGAACUCUCACAAUUGGUCAUUACUGCUGGUAAGAGAAGCAGCAUUAUGAUUUCCUUUUACAUAUGAAGAAAAUGACGUUCAGAUUAACUUUAUAAUCAUGCAAUAAAUAAUUUGGAGAUCUGGGACCCAAGCAAGCAAAGGGCUAUGGCAGGGAGACCUGGGCUUUUGUUCUGACUUUGCCUACAGCUCGAGGCCACCACUUUGGUCCUUAGUUUUCUUGCCUUAAAAUGGGUUCAGUGGAUUAGAUUGGGGUGGUAACCUUUUUCUGUAAAGGGCCAGAUGUAAACAUUUGUGGCUUUCUGGGCCAUCCAGUCUCUGCGGCAACUACUCAACUCUGCCACUGGAGAGUAAAAGCAGCCACAGACAACAUGUGAAACAAACGGGUGUGACAUUGUGCCAAUAAAACUUCAUUUGCAAAAAUAGGCAGCGGCAUGGAUUUGGUCCAUAGGCUGCAGUUUGCAGACCCCUGGACUAGAUGAUAUAGAAGUUUCUUCUACUGCUAAAAUUUUAUGAUUCAACUUGUUUUAAUGGCAAUGCUAUUUCCCUAGGAAAGUCAUCUUGAUUACACAAUCGUCUGCUGAUUAUACAGUUUAUGAGUACUUAAAUAUUUUUCUGAUGUUCAUUGUAGCAUGAUUCACAAUAGCCAAGGUAUGGAAACUACUUAAGUGUCGUCUGUUAAUGGAUGAAUAGAUAAAAAAGAGGUGGUGUAUAUAUACAAUGGAAUAUUAUUCAGCCAUGAGAAAGAAGGAAAUCCUGCUAUUUGUGACAACCUAGAUGGACCUUGAGGGCAGUACGCUAAGUGAGCUAAGUCAGACAGAGAAAGACAAAUACUUACAUGUCGACCCUAAAAAAGCCAAACUCGUAGAAACAGAGAGUAAAAUAGUGGUUACUGUCAGGCUGGGGGGUGGAGAAUUGGGGAGAUGUUGAGCAAAGGGUACAAACUUGCAGUUGAAGAUGAGUAAGUUCUGGAGAUCUAACACACAGCAUAGUGAUUUAGCCAACACUAUUGUAUUAUAUACUUCAAAGCUGCUGAGAGACUAGAUCUUAAAUAUUCCCCUUACAAAAGAGAAAUGAUAAUUAUGUGAGUGCUAGAGGAUUUAGCUAAUGCUGUGGUGAUAAUCAUACUGCAAUAUACAAAAGUAUCAAAUCAAUACAUUGUACACCUUAAAUUUACACAAUGCUGUAUGUCAAUUAUAUCUCAAUAAAAAGUAUUUUUCUGCUU